UUGAAGUCUACAAAAAGGGAUAAAUCCUGCAGAAGCUUUGGUUUUAGUCUUGUUGAAACCCUUAUUAGAUUUUGGAACUUCAGAACUAUGAGAUGCCACCAUCAUCCUAACUAAACAGACCAAGAAACCAAGGUCUAGCAAGGCUGACCUGAACUUUCAACCAAGGUGAAACUGAACAAGUAAGAAUCAGGCUGAAUACGUCUGUAUAUUAAAACUAACCAAUACUAGUGAAACUGGAAGGAGGAGGCUCCAGAAGACAUCUUUUGCAAGAAAGGGCUCCCCAUUCCUCUGGAAAGUGGGUAAUGAGAAGGGCUGAUUCAAUCCAAUCAAGGACUGAGCUGGACUGGGAAUGUGUCCUGAGACUCUGCCUUACAGCUGAGGACAAGGCAAUGAUCAAUAAUAGAAACUGACCUUGUAAUUUAAUAAGGGAGACUGGUAUGCAGAUGAAUUGAAGCAAUAUAAGCAGGUGCAUAAUGAUUAAGAAUUCUGGUUGCCAAGGGUGAAAUGCUGCUUCAAAUUCGAAGUUCAAUUGUUUUGUGAAUUUGUAAUUGCACCCUUUCUGCGGGAUGGGGAAAGCAGAGGAGGAAAUUCACAAAAAUGACACAAAGCAGAUAAUAACAGAGUUCCAUGAAGAAUUCAUAAUGAUGUUCAAGAUAAAAAGAGGAUUUUAUUAAAUGGAAAUAUGGCAAUUACGAUAAUAGCAUAAGAUAUUCUUUUUCAAGCAAAACCAAAUUACAGAAGAAUACCAACUGUGGAGUGUGCAAAGUCUGAUUAGUUCAAUACUGCAAGAUUUGUAACCUGUGCUUGGAGCCCUAUUACCUUGGAACCUCACUCAAGGGCUGUAGAAGUAAUAAAGAGGUGGUUAACCACAUGAAAUGGCAGACUUGCUUAUUACAGCCAUGGAAUGUUUUGUCUGUGAUUUAAAUGAGUAAAAAACAUGGUGAAUAUUACAAGAGAAGAGGAAGAAGGCAGGUGAACUUCAACCAUAACAAAGAGUGAACAUCCUUCACCUUUGCUGAGACUGAAAAUAACUCCAAGAUAUUUUUGGUGCAGAGAAAUGUGCUUUUUCUAGAGUACAGUAUCCAACUCAUCUCAUAUGUCCCUAAAACUUUUGACUCUGUCAUUUUAAGUCCAGCUUCCAGAAACUUUUCUUGUCUUUGAGUCAAAUUUUGUAUAUAAUAUCUGAUAGUAAGACACUACAGGAAUUUUCAAGAUGGAGGGAGCCCACCAGAGGCUCUCUCUUCCCAUGUUACAACCAAAGAGUUCAGACAAAAUGCAAAAGGCAACUAUCUGAGGACUGCGAAAAGUUAUCAAUUGCAACCAGACAAUGAGGAAACCCAAAACUUGAAGUAUGAGAAGUAUCAGUGAAUUUUCUAGUUUAUUUAGGGUAGCUGAAUGGCCUGACUAUAGAACUAUAUAACGGGGACAGACAGAAAAUAUUGCCUAGAGGACCAGAAAAAGAACAACUGUGAGUUAAAAGUUGCAAGGGAAUACCUUGCAAUACCUAGGCUGCAACUUCAGGAUAAGCAUACUUUAUUUCCUCACCCAGUCUUGCGCUUAGAAUAGUCCCAGUUGUGACUUUGUAUUGAUGUGGUAGGGACAAUAACAGUGGCAACAUAUGGCAUGGGCACACAGAAUUCCAAGGGGAAAACCUGCAUUUGAAAAAUGGCAUAUGCUAGAAGGACUCUCUGACCUUCUCUCUCUUGCCUGAAGCAGGUCAUAGAAAUAGAAGGUGCUAGACAGAGUCUGACUUUUCCCUUCUCUCCUGAAGCAGGUUAUCAGACCCUAUUAUAACAUGUGCCCUCCCUAUCCCUGCAGGAAAGGAGUCUCUUUAUCUCUGAAGACAGAGCUAUACUCUUUUGUCCUAUCAUGUUUUUCCAUGACCUUCCACACUUUAUGGAAUGUCAUAUAGAAAGAUUCAGUUUUAACCAUUUCUUUAGGUAUUCAUUUCCUUAUGAAGGCCUCUCUGCCACAUUUCCAGUGCUUAAUAACUACCUGUGGUCAGUGGCUACCAUAUUGGGCAACACCACAACCAUAGACUGUGUGGCCUCAGGUAUGGAAGACUGGCUUCUUCCUUAUCACUCUAGGCCAACCGUAGCUUUCUGUAAAUCAAAAAAAAAAAAAAAAAAGGAAUACUUCCUAUUUGUGAAGAUUAAACCAAAUGAUGUGUAUAAAUGCCUGUCAGUGCGUUGGACACAUAGCAAAUUCAAAAUAAAUAUUAGCUACAAUGAGAAUUAUUGUUAGAAAUUAGGACUACUAGGCAAACAGAACCAAGACUAAGAUACAUAACUUUUCUUUGAAAUAAUCUACUCCAUGGUUAAGUAAUAAUUUAUUUUGGUGAAUAGAACAUUAUUUUGAUUUAUUUCUUUCAACUCCCUCCCUGAGA